rnacentral:lncRNA from 1 species
UUACUUCUUCUCCCUCUAUGUGUAAUACUGCUAAUACAGGUAAACAUUCUUUUGUGUCUAAAGCCAAUCAGAUGUGGAUUAUUGAUACAGGUGCAACUAAUCAUAUGGUCUCCAGUUUAGACAUGAUGAUUAAGGGGUCAGUGUCGCAGCUUGCAGAGUCUAAACCUAUCUAUCUUCCAAAUGGUAGCACUACUCAAGUUUCUCAUGUUGGAUGUUGUGCUUUAUCAGCAAGAAGUGUGAUCACUAAUGCACUGCACCUUCCUGAUUUCAACUACAAUUUGUUGUCAGUCAGUCAAAUCACAAAGGAGUUAGGAUGCUCAGUUACCUUCUUCCCUAAUUUCUGUGUUUUCCAGGAUCUUUGCAGUGGGAAGGUGAAGGAAGUUGGUAAGCAAGAAGGAGGUCUAUAUCUACUGAUACAACACUUAACAAAUAAAGAUGCACAUAGUGAAGAGGAGGUUGCAUUUGCUGUCAACAAUACAAAGGUCAUAGACAUGGAAUUGUGGCACAAAAGGUUGGGGC